UAAUACGUAUGGGGCGAGCGUUGUUCGGAGUUAUUGGGCGUAAAGGGCGUGUAGGCGGCCCGAGAAGUCUGGUGUGAAAUCGCAGGGCUCAACCCUGCGGGUGCGCUGGAAACUGACGGGCUCGAGUCCCGGGGGGGAAGCUGGAAUUCCUGGUGUAGGAGUGAAAUCUGUAGAGAUCAGGAAGAACACCGGUGGCGAAGGCGAGCUUCUAUUCGAGGACUGACGCUGAGGCGCGAAAGCGUGGGGAGCAAACAGGAUUAGAUACCCUGGUAGUCCACGCUGUAAACGAUGUGCACUAGGCGUGGGGCACGUCGGUGCUCUGUGCCGAAGUUAACGCGAUAAGUGCACCGCCUGGGGAGUAUGCUCGCAAGGGUGAAACUUAAAUGAAUUGACGG
rnacentral:rRNA from 1 species